GCGCUGCCACUCAGCUCCGCGGCCAACCGGGAAAGCUGGGCGCUCCCUCACCGCACAGCCCCGUUUCCCUUGGCCACCAAGUCAAGCCUGUCCUGUCCUGCACACUUGAGCCUCAUCCAGCUGGCCCUGCACAGCCUGCCAAGACCUCAGAUACAGGUUGUGUAGACCUCAUUGUCCUCGGGAUUAAAGUCCAGAUGCCAAUCAUAAUUUGCAAGUCUCUUCAAGAUCUGGCGGCUGCUAAAUGAGGAGAUGUCGGUCAGAGGGUACACUUGUGUUUAUGAGUAAGUUCUAGAGACCUAACAGCGUGGUGAUUAUAGUUAAUCAGACUGUAUUAUAUACUUGAAAGUUGCUAGGAGGGUCGAUCUUAAAU
rnacentral:lncRNA from 1 species